GAUGAACGCUGGCGGCGUGCCUAAUACAUGCAAGUCGAGCGAACGGACGAGAAGCUUGCUUCUCUGAUUUUAUCGGCGGACGGGUGAGUAACACGUGGAUAACCUACCUAUACGACUGGGAUAAUUUCUGGAAACCGUAUCUACUACCGGAUAAUAUUUUGAACCUCAUUGUUCAAAAGUUAAAGACGGUCUUGCUUUCACUUAUAGAUGGAUCCGCGCUGCAUUAGUUAGUUGGUAAGGUAACGGCUUACCAAGGCAACGAUGCAUAGCCGACCUGAGAGGGUGAACGGACACCCGGGAACUGAGAAACGGUCCAGACACCGACGGGAGGCAGCAGUAGGGAAUCUUACGCAAUGGAGGAAAGGCUGACGGAGCAAAGCCGCGUGAGUGAUGAAGGACUACGGAUCGUAAAGCGCUGUUAUUAGGGAAGAACAAAUGCGUAAGUAACUGUGAACAUCAUGACGGUACCUAAAGAGAAAGCCACGGCUAACUACGUG
rnacentral:rRNA from 1 species